rnacentral:rRNA from 1 species
UGACGGGGGCCCGCACAAGCGGUGGAGCAUGUGGUUUAAUUCGAAGCAACGCGAAGAACCUUACCAGGUCUUGACAUCUCCUGACAACUCUAGAGAUAGGGCUUUCCCCUUCGGGGGACAGGGUGACAGGUGGUGCAUGGUUGUCGUCAGCUCGUGUCGUGAGAUGUUGGGUUAAGUCCCGCAACGAGCGCAACCCUUGAUCUUAGUUGCCAGCAUUCAGUUGGGCACUCUAAGGUGACUGCCGGUGACAAACCGGAGGAAGGUGGGGAUGACGUCAAAUCAUCAUGCCCCUUAUGACCUGGGCUACACACGUGCUACAAUGGAUGGUACAAAGGGCAGCGAGACCGCGAGGUUAAGCGAAUCCCAUAAAACCAUUCUCAGUUCGG